GGGCCGGUGGUCCAACCUGGCUAAAACACAACUGUGUGGCCAAGACGUCGCCUUCGCAAGGCGGAAAUCUGGGUUCAAAUCCCGGCCGGUCCA
rnacentral:tRNA from 1 species